rnacentral:rRNA from 1 species
GUCUAUGGCCAUACUACCCUGAAUGCACCCAUCUUUUCUGAUGUCAGAAGCUAAGCAGGGUUGAGCUUGGUUAGUACUUGGAUGGAAGGUCCUAUAUCUAGUUCCUCAAAAA